GGAGAGGUGUCCGAGUUGGCCUAAGGAGCGCGAUUGGAAAUCGCGUAAACGGUUUGUAGCCGUUUCGUGGGUUCGAAUCCCACCCUCUCCG
rnacentral:tRNA from 2 species